rnacentral:misc_RNA from 1 species
UUUAUUUAUUUAUUUGUUAUUUGGAUUAAAAGCACUUAUCAGGACAAAUAUUGGUAGCGGUGGUUGAAAUUUGUGUUUCCUGCAUUGAUGACCACCUAGGGGCACACACUUACAGGUUUUAUGGGAAUUUGAUUUUCAAUUGCACUAGAGCUCUAUCUUCAGACCAAUAAGCUAAAAGGACAGAAUGAGGUCAAAAAAUUGCAUGUUAAAGAUGAUAUGGGGGUUACAGGUGGAAUCUAUAAUUCUGUUUUAUUCUGUUUGUUGACCUGAUGACAGCUGAGGAACAUUCCAUGUCAUAAAGUUGAUUCCUGUUGGUCUGAGAAAUGAAGAGAACCUCCAGGAUAAGAAGGCAGUUGAAAACCAUUUUGGAUGCUUCUAUUUUACUACAAAUUUAAUUUUUAGAUAGAGUUGUUUUGGAAAAUCCUGAAAUAGCAUGCUGCUAAAUAACUGUUUUACAGUUAGAGGCCUAGGUAAACUUGCUAUUUUCAACCACUCUUCUUCCAGUACCAUUAGCAUUUGCGCUUUUAGCCCCUGCUUUGAUUUCAGCUUUCAGAAAUUGUGACAUGCAAUUGAGGGCAUAGUCUUUAAUGUCUCAUGUCUUUCUUUUUUUGAACAGAAAAAUGAUCUGUGGGUUCUUUUACAUUUUACUAGCGAUUUCCCUCGUAAGGUUGAAUCAACCUGUUGUUGGUGCAUUGGUUUAAUAUUAAUUUCAUAUCAUCUUUGAUUGUGUGGAAAAGUUUUUACUUUGAGAAGACCUUAAUGGAUUAUGAACUUGUGGAUGCAGAAGUUGCAAGCAUUGCUGUUAGAAUCUUACAAUUCUCUAUUCGAAUUUUAUCUUUAGAUUCGAUUUGAUUUUUUAUCCUGGCGAUUCGAAUCUAUAGGGUGAAU